UGGCAUAACAAAGAACGAAUGGAGAUUCAAAAUGUUUUUAUUUAUAUUAAUUUAUUUAAAUACUGUGUCUACCAUACGUUAAAUUUCGGAAGUACCUAAUGUCUCAGUGUUCUUAUCGUCUAACUUAAAAAAAUGUUUACAAACUUCUUACUUUUAACAUUAUAACUGCAACUCUUUUAAUCAACAUUGACUUGUCCACAUAUAAACCAAUAUUUCAUACAAGAUAUAGGUUAUGUUAUUCUGCCAUUUUUGCCUUGAAGAGGACUACCGAAGUAUAGUCGAAACGUCGAAAUUUAUUCUUUGAGGGACCUCUCAAUCAGCUUUAAUAAAUUAUGACCAGUAGACAAUAGAACUUCAAACCUUUUUUUAUUGAAUACUAUCCUGGUCGACACAAGAUGCCGAUUCAGUGGAACGGUUGAAUGAGUCUGGAGAACUGCGUAUUAUGCUCAGACCAUACAAGAGUGCGGAUGCUUGCACCACCUGUAAAAUUUGCGGUGGCUAUCGGCUACUUCCAUGUCCAGUUUGUAAUGGAAGUAAAAAAUCUGUUCAUCGGAAUGACUUCACAACAGAGUUCGUGGCAUUAAAGUGCAUGAACUGCGAUGAAGUCGGACUAGUUCGUUGUCAAAGCUGCUGAAAAAUUUACAUGAUGUGACAUAUUUUGUUGCUUCGAAAAAACUGCUCAACUUACAUCGUACAAGAAUCGGUUUAAUCAAUCAAAAAGUUUUUAAUUGCAUUCUAUUUUUUGUAUACAAUAAGAUUUAAUCGAACAAGUGUAAAAAACUGUUUCGUAAAACAAUUGUAAAAAUCUACGACUCUUCUAUAUCUCAAAGAUUUGUUUGAUUAGUAUAUUCUACGAAUUAAAAAUGUCGCCUGAUUUCUCUAUUAACUUUUAAAACUCUGUUAAGAUGAGGUGCUAACAGAGUAAGCAUAUAAUAUAAUAAAUAUACUCUGAAGAACUUUAACCCUCAUA